GAUCAUACCGGAGACAGAUAGAGCAGCGUCCCAACUACUGUCACUUCCCUGUAUUUCCAGUUCAUUAAAUGGAAGUUAAUGGAUGUAAUUAGAUUAAGAAACAGGUGGUGAUUAUUGAAGUAAUCAACGAUAUGGGGGGAGGGGUAGAAGGGGUAUUAAAACUUCAAGCUGUUAUCCUGCUAAUUCCUUCUAACACUUUCUUACAAGGUCACUCUCGGGACAGUUUUCAAACACGGUUUGAAUUUUUAAACGGAUUGGGAGUUUUCAAAAGAUCCUUAGAUCCCCGUCUGUUUUCUAACGCGUUUUAUUCUCACCUACUUUAACGUGUGCUUUUUGUUUGGCGGUUAAACUUCAUCUAUAUUUUUUCUCAUUUAAAAACCAGUAAAUUUGGAGCCGUUUUAAAUUUCUGUUCAGUUGGAACGGGGCCACAAUGUCAAUCACCGUUCCGGAACCAAUCGCCACCGUUGACCCCGCCUCCUCUAGGCGCUGAUUGGGUGUUAAUGACGACAUUGCAUUUCCGACAAUCAAUUGGCAAUCAAUUCCUUUUCCUUUUACAGAACUAAAACGCGACCAAAGUUAAACGUUUAAGAAAGGCAGUUAAAGAUCUUUCUUUGUUUUGGUUUUGUAUAAAGGUUGAUUUUUUUAAAGAUUUUUUUAGCUGUUUUGAAAGGAUUGGAAUUUGGAAUGCCCUGAAGUUGUACUGACUGCAAUAUUGCCUCCAGCGGGGCACACAUGAUGCAUCCAUGCCCUUAAGUACACGUAGAGGUGCAAGUUACACUGAAUUGAAUGUGCCAGAACUGCAGCAUAUGGGAGUUUAUGGUGAGCAUUGUAUAUCCAGACAACCAUGCCUGUGAUGCUGCCAGACCUGAGGUUUUCCAGCAUUUUCUGUUACUAUACCGGAAAAUAGUUUUUCCAACAGCUCCUAUAGCACAACAUUUUCUAACAUUGAUUAAGAUCAAUCUUGCCUAUUUCCAUACAUUGCGAGGCCCCUUUUGACAAAGGCGAUGAAAUUCAUCACCACUGCCCAUGUGCCAAUUCAGCAUUUGGCCACCUGAAGGCAAGAGCCUUUGAGGAUCAGGAUCUCAAAUCCAAGACUAAGGUCAUGGUUCACCAGGCUGCAAUGAUCUGCACACUCCCACUUAUGUCUCUGAGGCUUGGAAAACCUGCACCGGGCACCUCAAAGCAAAAGUGUCUGCAAAAGAUCCUCCAAAUCCAGUGGCAAGAAAGGCAGUGGAACAGCAACGUCUUCUCCCAACCCAACGUGCCCGAUAUUGAGGCGUUAAUCACGUAAAGCCACUUCCACUAAAACACUUUAGGGAUGUCCUCAAAGCACACCUGAAGAGGUCAGAUGUCCCCAUCAAACAGCAGAGAAUCUUCAUCUGGAACAUGCAGAGGGUCAACACAGUUGAGAAAGUGCAAAAAACUACCAGACAACUCAUUUAACUGACCCUCCAAGCAACACCUAACUCACAUGGGGCAGAGUCUGUAGAUGCUUUGGACUUAAGCACCUCAGAAUCUAUCGGAUUGGAGUAGAAGCAAGUUAUCCUCAAACAAGGGAGUGCCUAAGAAGAAAGAGUGACUGACCUUUAUCAUAAAUUUCAAGAGUAGGAGGGGCAGGGAAGACUGCAAAAUUGAUCGAGAAGCUGGAUAUCAAACUCGACUCUGAAGACAAAGACAAGGAGGCAGACCUAAGAUUCAAUUAUUCCAAUGCUGUACUGAUUGACCUCUGUGGCACAGGCAGUCAGCAGCACCUAGAGGAGAGUGCGAGAGGAAGACUGUGAGCCAGGCAGUCAGCAGCACUAGAGGAGAGUGCGAGAGGAGCUAUAAAAACAGCACGAGAAAUGGCAAGAGUUCCACAGCAGAGAACUCUGACCAGGUUGUGUCUUAACGUGAGACAGCAAGUGAAGAGCCAGCUCUAUCUUUCCAAAUCUGUACAUGAAGGCUCACACCUUCCCCAACGCAAGGACUUUGACAAGGAGGGUAUGUCCAUUCGUCAGGGGUUGAAGCAGCGCACCAGGUACCUGCUAAGAAACCUAAAUGGGAUGUUUCUAAGGCACACAAGAUCUGAGGCUUUGGACCUGAUGACACAGGCCCCAGUAUUCUGGUUGACAUUACCAAGGGAGGUCAAUACCUGAACAAAAUCAGGACAGGACAACCAAUGAAGUUUGAUCGCUGGUAGACCUUACCUGGAGACUCCAUUGCAACAGCCUCACAGAUCAUUGCAAGAGACUCGCAAGUGCCUGAAGGAGGGUAUCCUAGCCUUAGAAAACUUCUUGGAUAUGUUGUAAAAUCAUUGUCUGCGUCUUGUAUAUGUCUUGCCUAUAUUAGCACUUUAAUCUUAAAAGCAUUACUCACCAAGAGAGCAUAAUUUUAAUAGAAGAUAUGAGAGGGACUGUUUAAUAUGAAACAUACUUAACAUUUAUGGUUUAAAAGUUCACCAUAUUAAAUUAUAAAACCUGUUAAAGCUAUCUUAUGUUGUUGAUUUAUGCUCCUCACACCAAUUAGGGGAGAUUUUUGGAGUUUUGAUAGUUCAUCCCCUCACUUAGUUGAAUCAGUGUCCCUAUCAAUCACUUGCAUGUUAAAAUGUGUUACAGAAUAAAAUUCCUUGAAUACUCUUGUCUUAAUCCUAA